AUUGAACGCUGGCGGCAUGCCUUACACAUGCAAGUCGAACGGUAACAGGUCUUCGGAUGCUGACGAGUGGCGAACGGGUGAGUAAUACAUCGGAACGUGCCUAGUAGUGGGGGAUAACUACUCGAAAGAGUGGCUAAUACCGCAUGAGAUCUACGGAUGAAAGCAGGGGAUCGCAAGACCUUGUGCUACUAGAGCGGCCGAUGGCAGAUUAGGUAGUUGGUGGGAUAAAGGCUUACCAAGCCGACGAUCUGUAGCUGGUGUGAGAGGACGAUCAGCCACACUGGGACUGGGACACGGCCCAGACUCCUACGGGAGGCAGCAGUGGGUAAUUUUGGACAAUGGGCGAAAGCCUGAUCCAGCAAUGCCGCGUGCAGGAUGAAGGCCUUCGGGUUGUAAACUGCUUUUGUACGGAACGAAAAGCCCCGGGUUAAUACCCUGGGGUCAUGACGGUACCGUAAGAAUAAGCACCGGCUAACUACGUGCCAGCCGCCGCGGUAA
rnacentral:rRNA from 1 species